rnacentral:rRNA from 1 species
CUUUCAUACAGGUGCUGCACGGCUGUCGUCAGCUCGUGUCGUGAGAUGUUAGGUUAAGUCCCUGCAACGAGCGCAACCCUCGUGUUUAGUUACUAACAGAUUAUGCUGAGGACUCUAGACAUACUGCCUGGGCAACCAGGAGGAAGGUGAGGACGACGUCAAGUCAUCAUGGCCCUUACGGCCAGGGCUACACACGUGCUACAAUGGGGUAUACAAAGAGCAGCGAUACCGCGAGGUGGAGCAAAUCUCAUAAAAUAUCUCCCAGUUCGGAUUACACUCUGCAACUCGAGUGUAUGAAGUUGGAAUCGCUAGUAAUCGUAGAUCAGCAAUGCUACGGUGAAUACGUUCCCGGGUCUUGUACUCACCGCCC